AAGGGAGACCUAAUUCAGGUAUGGGACGAAAAAAAAGUAGUCGCUACCAAGAAUCAAUCCCAAAAGGUCGGAGCGAGGUAUGAGGCUUUCAAACUAGGUUCUGGGUUCAUAAAAGACCUGAAUCAGGAACAAGGGCUAUUAGCUCAGGUGGUUAGAGCGCACCCCUGAUAAGGGUGAGGUCCCUGGUUCGAGUCCAGGAUGGCCCACCUGCACAGGUGGCAAAAACAAGAGAAGCUCCGAAUCAGCACCUUAUCUUAUAUACAUAUAUAAGAGAGAAUGCUGGCUCUGAGUACAGAGUCCAGAGGAACCUUGAAAACUGCAUAGAGCUAGGUGAAAAAGCCAAAAAAGAAGACCGCAA
rnacentral:tRNA from 1 species